ACUGGACCAGGGUCACACAGCUAGGAAGUGUAGGUCAAGUUUGAACUCAGAUCCUUGGAACUCCAGAGGCGGAGCUCAACCGAGAAGACUUCAAGUCUCCAGUGUCAGUUCCUGGCCAUUUCCGCCUCCCCCCUCCUCUGCUGUUGACCAUUCUUAUGUCUGCUGACCUCUCUGUGAGCCGCCCCCUGGAAUCUCCCACCAUCGGACACCUGCAACAGUGCUCUCACUUCAUGGCUGCAUCAGAGGCCGGUGAACUAUUUUGGGGCUUUGGCGCAGAGGAAAUUCUUCAGGUUUCUCCUUCCAGUCCCUUCACUUCGAUGUAUCCAGAUCACAUUUUUGACAGCAGUAAUUU